AUUUUUGGAAUCUAAUUAUAAUUUUUUGUUUUAUGAAAGCUGAGGUUUAUAAAACAAACCUUUUUAUGUUGUUUAUAAGUGAUGUUCAAUUGCCUGUUUGAUCACACAAGAAAGAAAUAUUGACACAAAAAAGGAAGGAAAAGGAUGGAAUUAACUCCCUUUUGUCUAAUAUUUAAUCAAAUGAAGGGUUUAGGACCAUGCAUCCUUCCUCGCAGAUCACAUGCAUUGCACGUGCCAAGAUCCAUCAACAAACUGCUAUAAUAUAAAUCUCAUAGGAUCUACUUCAGUUUCAAUGGCCCAUGCUUAACUCUAAAAGCAUAAGCAGGGAGCAAACAUCAACUCGAAAGUUGUCUAACAAGUGAAAACUCAGUCUAGAUCUUAUAGUGAGAGUGCUUAAUUAAGAUCUCAAGGUUAAGCACCAAGAUGACCAGUAAGUACUCACUUUCUUGCCAAGAUAGCUUUCACCAAAUAUAUUACACCAUUUUUUUUGUGGGAUCAUCGCCAAAUAUAUUACAAAAUUUUUAUGCUACUAAAUUUGUGAAUGUUUCCUUUCAAAAGUUGCCAAACGGGUUAAGUUUGGCACCUUGCUCCUCUUUAGCGUGCUUGCGUGUUCAUGGCAUAUUUUGCACUGUUUUGCUAGUCUCAAAGAUGUGCAGGAUUUAUGAAAUGGUGCAGACAUUAGAUGAGAAUGAUGCGAUCGUUUAAGUUGGCGUGAGUGUGCCAUCAAACAUGCACAUAAUUUUUAUAAAAAGGAGAAAGUAAUAUGCACAUAAUUUCCUCACAAGGAUUUCUCUUAAAAAAAUAAUAAUAAAAAAAAACCUUGCUGCAUGCAGCAUCAAAUAUGCACACCACUCAAUUCAUCUAUGUAAUUGGUGUGCAGUGGUUGAUUGGCACGUCAAUUAAUGAAUAUUGUCAAUAUAUAUGUAAUUUUAGCAGACUUAUUCAGAUACAUGCAAUUAUAAGUGUCUUGAUAUACAUGCCAUUUUAUCAAUACAAACAAUGAUUUGUAUCGACUGCAACCUGCUCAUUCUAUCAUUCUAAUGAUAGGAUCUGACACCUCGCAGAUAUCGGAGAGAAGCCGCGGUGGGAGCGGGGGAGGCGGCGGAGCCCCGGCAGGCCACCAUCAAGCUAGCGCUCCCACACGGGUUGCAAAAGAGGAAAAAGGGAAUGAAUCAAAGAGAGAGGAAAAAGGUGGCGGCUCAUGACAUUCAUCAACAUUUGUUGCCUAUUUAUGAUUUGUCAUGGGAGAGUAUGUAUAUGUGUGCAUGUAUGUAUGUAUGUAUGUAUGUAUGUACGUAUGUAUGUAAAAUGUAUAUGUAUGUAUGAGAAAGUUGUCUCGUCUACAUGCAAUAUGAAUCACACGCACCUCUCAUCAUCAUAUGAUCAAGUAGGAAAGAUUGCAAUGAUACUUUCAAUGAUACGUGCACAUUUUGUUUUAAUUUUUUUUUGAGACAAUGGACGUCUAGGUUUCAUGCAGCUUGGUGACCGAACAGUAAUUUAUGUAGGCCUGGCUAUAUUUCAUUAAUCUAGCUCUUUCCAUGAAAAGUUGCUAUCACUUGGACCUUAUCAGUUAAUGCAUCUUCUUAUACGUUGCUGGCUUUACGAUGUCUUUUUUCCUCCUCAUUAUUUGUGUACUUUCAUACACUUAAAGGAGCAUUUCUGCACUUAACGAAACACGACUACGUAAUUGUUUGUUCAUUUAAUCGACAUCACUGCAUGUGAAAGUAAUAAUAGUUGAAGUUGACACAUAAUUUCCUUAGAUGUAAUGGCGAUACUUCCUGCUAUCGAUACCAAAACAUUUCAAAAGGAAACAAAAGCAAGGCAUCUAAGUAGGCAGCAAUAAACUUCUCAUUGUACAGAAGUUCUCAUGCACAUAUAUAUGCAUGGAGGAAGUAUCAUGGAUGCAAGUUUAGCUACAUAUUAAGUUUAUUAAAGAGGUUACUUGUUAAAUAUGUAUCAUAGAACCCAACGACAUUACUAUAAGAGAUUUUCUUUUUUUUUGUCAAAACAUGAACAGAUUAGCCUAUUGAUAACUUUGCAGGAUUAAAAGAGCCUCUCUUACAUUUUUAAUAUCUACUGACUUUACUAAAAGAUUACCAGACUUCUUCUCGUAGAGGAGACAGNNNNNNNNNNNNNNNNNNNNNNNNNNNNNNNNNNNNNNNNNNNNNNNNNNNNNNNNNNNNNNNNNNNNNNNNNNNNUCUUCUAAAUUCCAAAUAUACGUGGAAACCGCUUAUAGCUAAGUUUGUAGGAGUUCAUGCAUGUUUCUUCGAUUGAAAUUGCAAUUUUGAUCCAGGCCAGUGAUCAUUCAUUCUUUUCUUUUUAAAUAUAUCUUUUCUUGGUCUCUUAGUAGUUGAUUUCUUUAAAAGAUGUCAUCUCUCCAGUCUCUCCCUUCUUCCUCUCAAAGGGGGAAAAGAGAACUCGCUUAAGUCCCUCCCUCUCUCUCUCUCUCUCUCUCAUGUUCUUUAAUUGUCUCAUGAUCUUAUGCACCGGAGUUGAGCUAGAAAUUGUACUAUGGUAACUCAUGACGUUUUAAAUGUCUCUUGAUGUUCAUCAUGUCAUAAUACAUAAAUAGUGUGCAUGGUUAGGUCAGUGGUACGAGAAGACAUCAGCAUCACAAAUGCUAUGAUUUUAUGGUAGAAAAAGUAAAUGGUAUGAUGAUCUCUGAAACUUAUGAAUACGAAUGCUGUCAAGCAUAAAGGUGGAACCUCCAUUACCUUUAGAAGGAAGAAGUCCAGCAGCAGAAGCCAUCGGUUUCCGGGGAGAUACCACUUAAAGGGGCUCAAGAGGCAACUUUUAAGAAAGGAAUAAAGGCAAGAGGUACUUGCACGAGGCUUAUUACCAAGGGAAAGCCCGGCCGUCUCCUUUAAUGCUUGAAAUUAGUAUAUAACUCAGCCCUCCUGCCUCAUUGCACAAUUUCUCUAUGGAUUCAUAGCAUUCUAUGCUUCACAAACUAAAAGCUAAAGGAGAACAAGAAAGGAGGAGAAGAUUUGUGAGAAUGGACGCACCAAAUCGACAACCAUUUGAGAUCAUAGAGGCUCACUACCCAAGCAGCAUGGAGACUCAUAAUCCAAGUUUUCCUCCUGGAAAGUGGUGUUGCGUCCUU
rnacentral:lncRNA from 1 species